rnacentral:rRNA from 1 species
UCCCUAUGGGGUGCAGCAGGCGCGAAAACUUUACAAUGCGGGAAACCGUGAUAAGGGGACACCGAGUGCCAGCAACAUUUAUUGGCUGUCCAGGUGUGUAAACUACACCUGUUAGCAAGGGCCGGGCAAGACCGGCGCCAGCCGCCGCGGUAACACCGGCGGCCCGAGUGGUGAUCGUGAUUAUUGGGUCUAAAGGGUCCGUAGCCGGUUUGGUCAGUCCUCCGGGAAAUCUGACGGCUUAACCGUUAGGCUUUCGGGGGAUACUGCCAGGCUUGGAACCGGGAGAGGUAAGAGGUACUACAGGGGUAGGAGUGAAAUCUUGUAAUCCCUGUGGGACCACCUGUGGCGAAGGCGUCUUACCAGAACGGGUUCGACGGUGAGGGACGAAAGCUGGGGGCACGAACCGGAUUAGAUACCCGGGUAGUCCCAGCCGUAAACGAUGCUCGCUAGGUGUCAGGCAUGGCGCGACCGUGUCUGGUGCCGCAGGGAAGCCGUGAAGCGAGCCACCUGGGAAGUACGGCCGCAAGGCUGAAACUUAAAGGAAUUGGCGGGGGAGCACAACAACGGGUGGAGCCUGCGGUUUAAUUGGAUUCAACGCCGGAA